GGCCCUAUGGUCAAGUGGUUAAGACAUCGCCCUCUCACGGCGGUAACCGGAGUUCGAACCUCCGUAGGGUCACCA
rnacentral:tRNA from 1 species